AGGAUUUCUAAAUAAGCCUCCCCCCGGAAGUUAGUACAUUCCUAAAUAAAAUAAAGGUGCAGGUUUCUCCAGCAGUUCAUUUGUCUGGAUAGAUUUCAGAACACACGUCUGCAGUGAGGUGCCACAGUAGUGAGCUGUUCCAUGAUCUGAGCGAUGUCUUCAUCUGCAGAACCCUACAAGAACCAGAGGUACUGGGAGCUGAAGCAACAAUGCAAAGAACGCAAGCAGCUUUUCGAAGACCCAGAGUUCCCUGCUACCAUUGAGUCGUUAUUCUACAAGAACUCCCCCCCUGGGAUUGUGGAAUGGAAGAGGCCAAAGGAGAUUUCUGAUAACCCCCUGCUGUUUGUGGAGGGAAUCAGCUCCCAGGACUUGAACCAAGGAAGCCUGGGAAACUGUUGGUUUGUAGCAGCCUGCUCCUGUCUGGCUCUCAAAGAGGAUCUCUGGCGAAAGGUGAUCCCAGACAACAAGGAACAGGAAUGGGACCCAAACAAACCAGAGAAUUAUGCCGGGAUCUUCCACUUCCAAUUCUGGCGUUUUGGGAAGUGGAUUGACGUGGUUGUGGAUGACCUUCUUCCGACCAUCAACGGUGAACUGAUCUACUGCCACUCAAAUGAGCGCAAUGAGUUCUGGAGUGCACUGCUGGAAAAAGCUUAUGCAAAGCUCGCUGGCUGCUAUGAAGCCCUGGAUGGUGGCAACACUGCCGACGCUGUGGUGGAUUUCUCUGGAGCCGUGGCUGAGUCCAUCGAUCUGGAGGUGGGCAAGUACGCAACAGAUAUCCCACAACAGCUCAAGUUAUUUGAAGACCUGCUGAAAGUCAACGAGAGGGGAGGGAUCAUCAGCUGCUUUAUCAAGGCAACCUCACAGUCGGAGGUGGAGGCUCGGAUGAGCUGUGGCUUGGUAAAGGGUCACGCCUACUCGGUGACAGAUGUGCGGAAAGCCCGUCUGGGUCAAGGGCUGAUGUCCUUCUUCAAGGCAGAGAAACUCUUCAUGAUCAAAAUGAGGAACCCCUGGGGCAAACAAGAGUGGAACGGGCCAUGGAGCGACUCCUCUGAAGAGUGGGAGAAGGUGGGGAGCAGCGAGCGAGAGAACAUGGGAGUCACAGUCAAGGACGAUGGCGAGUUUUGGAUGGCAUUUGAUGACUGGUGUAAAUACUUCACUGGGGUGGAUAUCUGUCGCCUCAUAAACACCUCCAUCCUGAGUAUUCACAAGACCUGGGACGAGACGACUCUGCAAGGCUGCUGGACCAAGCAUGCUGAUCCCCUCUACAACCGCUGUGGGGGCUGCAUGAACUACAAGACCACCUUCCUGCAAAAUCCCCAGUAUGUCUUUGAUGUGAAGAAAGACGAGGAUGAAGUCCUGAUCUCGCUCCAGCAGCGGGACCUGAAAAUACACAAAAAGAUAGGCCAAGGAGAGAAUCUCACCAUCGGCUUCAUGGUAUUCAAAGUGGAACUGAACAGGGAAUUCCGCAUCCACAGCUUGCAGACGCAGCAGAACGUGGCCACUUCCACGUACAUCAACGCUCGCACUGUGUUCAUGAGGACGACACAACGGAAGGGCCGCUACGUCAUCAUACCCUCCACGUUCCAGCACAGCAUUCUGGGAGAUUUCCUGCUCAGGGUGUUCACAGAUGUGUAUUCCGGAUGCCGAGAGCUGGUGAUGGAUAAGCCUUUGCAGACCUGCUGGAUUGGGUUGUGUGGCUAUGCACAGACAGUGACUCAGGUUCACAUUGUCGGCGCUGAGGGGCUACAGAACCAGGAUAGCUCGGGAGGAGCUGACCCAUACCUGAUUAUUAAGUGUGAAAGACAGACGAUAACCACACCCGCCCAAAACAACACCAUGGACCCAAAGUUCAACACACAGGUCAUCUUUUACAGGAAGAAACCCAGGAAGCCCAUCACUGUACAGAUCUGGAACAAAAACACUGUUCAGGACGAGUUCAUGGGCCAGGUUAUCUUGGCAGCCUCCACGAAUGACCCCUCCACAAUUCAGAGGCUGCAGCUCAGGAAGAAAGGCCGGGCAAAGGCUGAUGAGAUGCCAGGGUUCAUCACACUCAGCACUAUCACCUGUGAAAACCUCACAGACCUGUGAAGAGCGCAGGGGCAAUGCGCUGACUGACAGCUGCUGCAUCCUCCUGCUCCAGUGGUGUAUUGACAACAAGCCUCUGGCAGCCAGUCCAGUUUAGUCAAAACCUUGUUCCACCCAGGUCCUUAAUUAAUUUACCUUAACCAAGCAAUACACUCUUAAAGGGCCACAUUCUGACCAUAUUUAACAACUGUAUAACUGUUUCAUGUUAACUGUUAUAGAUAUACAAAUGUAAAAGGUCAAAGUAAUUGCUUGCCUUAUAUUAGUAUUUCAGUCAGUGUUUUUCCUAUAUUGCUACCUGUAAUUUAAUAAGUGCUACUUCCACCCAACACAAAACUGAUAAUGUUUGCCUCUGAAUACAUUGAGCGUGAUGUUCAUUUAGCAUUUGAAUCUCUGUUCCAGCUUGACUCCAGAGGGGUCUGGGUGCAACACUGCAUACUAGGGCUGACUCUGCUACUUGCUGCCAGCCCAAAGUGAAUGAAAACCAAUGGUGGUGAUCAAAAGGGACUGCACAUUACUUCAGUCACCACUCAGCUCAGUGUUGAGCUGCUUCCCCUAAUGACUGGCAUAGUAUGAAACCAUUGACAUGAUUUGACCCCAAAGACGCUGCUCAGCUGAAACGACCUAGGAAGUGAAACAGUAACAGAAUAAAGCAAGCAGAAAGAAAGUGAGUCAGGCAACCUGAUACUUUCUUUGAACCUGGAGUAGUACCAGUAUUUGCAUAUCCUGCCUUACUGCUUUGUAGUCUUUCCAUAUUUAAAGCGCAAGUAGCUACACAUGUCAUUGUCUUUGUUUUUUAACUGUCCCCUUUAUCUUUUUAUGAUGUUUGCAAUCCUGCUGUGUGGUUCGUCUUGUGUUUUCUCCUUUCCACCUGAGUACAGGAUCUGCUCUUCAGUUUAGUUGUCUGCCACAGAUAUAUAUAUAUAACACAGGCUCGAUCAGACAAAGGCUCUUAAUAGAAGCAAGAGCCAGUGCCAACUAGUUUGCUUUGCUGGCAAUAUACUGCCGUGCACUAGAUGGUGCUGGUGCUCACUAAUAUGAAGACAAUGUAGCUGAUCUAGGCUAUGCUACAUAUGUCUAUGGCAGGCAACAUGAACUGAAGAGCAGCUCCUGAAUUCAAAGCCCUUCAACACCUUAUCAAGUAAUUAGUAAUUGCAAUGAGAGUUACAAACACAAAAUGAUAGGGAACAGUAAAACAAAUUCAAACACAAUGUCACCAGAAGCAACUAACCGUUUAACUUUUAAAAUGAUUGCCGCUAAGAAACAAUAUCCCAUGGAUCUGUUAUGCACAUCAAUUCGCCGCCCGGGUCUCCAAUGUGCAGUUUUGAAAGAAACACAUUUUAUAGCAAACAUGUCUUUUCAUUUUAUAAAAUAAUCAUCUGGCACAAGCAAUCUCUGUUUGCAAAGUUUUGCUUUCAGUUAAUCCUGCACUUUCUUGGUCAUUAUUUAGCAGGCUUACGUAAACUUAAAACACUCAAAAAGACUAAUACAACCGUGUAACAAUUUUUUAUUUUUUUUGGUUCCUGGGUAGUAAGUGUUAUUUCCUAAUUGCUUAUGCCUC